AUAUACAAAAUCUUGAGUGUAUUAAUCGUGAUACAUUUGGUACGAGCUCGCGUUAUUAUCCUUGUGUAGAAAAUACUCACUACUAGCUCGACCGCAAGAUGACUCCAUCAAUGGUUUCGCGCUAACUUCUCUACCGAAUCUUGAAAGGUAAUUCAGACCCAUGAGAAGCUCGAUGACUGCUGCUUCAGUUCUGGUUUGGUUUGCAAAGUAGAGGGUCUGGACGAGAAGCACGUUGGCCCCAUAAACCAGUCGUUGUUUCUCAAAGUUGCGUUCAGAAUGCCACCUUAUCGUGUUAUGANNNNNNNNNNNNNNNNNNNNNNNGGGGUUCAUCCGAACCCCCUUCGUCGGAAAAUUAUACUAUUUUUACAUGGUAAAAAAAAAAUUUAUGUAUAAAUAGUAGAGGUUGAACCCCCUUCGACUAGUCCGUAUAUGUACUACUGAACCCUCUCACUGAAAAUCCUGAAUCCGCCCCUGGUAUCGAGCUGUUUUUUUUUUAGGGUUUGAUUAUGAAAUUUAGUCUAAGAAUAUAGAGGAAAAUCUAGAAUCUUGAGUCGAUAAGUUCUGAAUAAGGGUGAAAUAAUUAUAUAUGACUUCCAUAUGUGUAUAAAGUUUGAAUCGAUCUAUUAAGUGGAUUUGAUUGCUUUGGCGGAGCCGAUGGAGUCAUUUUCAAGUCAAAUGGUAGAAAUUGCGGGUUUUUUGAGACUUUUGGUGAGUGCCCGCGGUUCAGGGUGGGCUUGCGCUUCGAGUAAGAUUUUGUGCAAAACUUCUCAGGUUGCUUUGGCGAGGCCGGUGGAGCCAUUUUCCAAGUCAAACGAGUGAAACGGCAGGAAUUGUAAAUUUUUUAUAAUCUUCGGUAAAUUUUUGCCCAUGGUUCGGGGAGUGGGCACUAGCUUCAAUUAAAAAAAGUUAGUAUUUUAACCCAUGUACGUAGAGAGACUGUUUCCGAUAGACCCUCAACUUAAAAAAAAAAUAUUCAGAUAUUGACACAGUUGCUAAAAACAUCCAUUACAGCAACAACAUUACCCAGUGUAAUCCCACAAACUAGUAGGGUCUGUGGAGGAUAUAGUGUACGCAGUUACCCUUACCUUAUGUCCUUAUUCCUCGGUGCUUUCUGCGUUGGGGUUCGUUAGUCACCUCCAGCACGCACAUGAGCACACACCAACUCUGCCCUUGUAGAGAUAGAGAGGUUGUUUUUGAUAUAACACGACUUAAAAUAAAACUUGUCUAAGCAGUUUGAAAAAAGGGAAUACAGUGACACAGUCGGAAUUUUCAUUUGAGAUCGUCUUACUGAAGUUUUCGCCUUCGCCUGAUGGCCAUUUGGAACCAGCGAAGACUUCAAAAUAAGGAAUUGGCUCUACAAACCAAACGAACUGCCCGAUAACCGAACCGUCAGUCCCAGCAAGUCAUUUAAGGAGAGCAGUAACAACGACGAAAUAAUGUGAUAUGGAGAACUUACAAAGCAUCCAUUAGUUUUUCAAAUACUCAACAAAGCUUUGGAGUAUAUAUAAAUCAAUAGAAGAGCACAUGUUUUAUGUCAACAUGAGGAAUGAACAGCUUUGGUUAUCAGACGGAACCUUAAACAACAGCAGGAAGGAACAAAGAAUAUACAAAAUCUUGAGUGUAUUAAUCGUGAUACAUUUGGUACGAGCUCGCGUUAUUAUCCUUGUGUAGAAAAUACUCACUACUAGCUCGACCGCAAGAUGACUCCAUCAAUGGUUUCGCGCUAACUUCUCUACCGAAUCUUGAAAGGUAAUUCAGACCCAUGAGAAGCUCGAUGACUGCUGCUUCAGUUCUGGUUUGGUUUGCAAAGUAGAGGGUCUGGACGAGAAGCACGUUGGCCCCAUAAACCAGUCGUUGUUUCUCAAAGUUGCGUUCAGAAUGCCACCUUAUCGUG
rnacentral:lncRNA from 1 species